UACGUAGGGGGCAAGCGUUGUCCGGAGUUACUGGGCGUAAAGCGCACGCAGGCGGUCUCUUAAGUUUGGAGUGACAGUUGGUGGCUUAACUGCCAAAGUGCUUCGAAAACUGAGAGACUUGAGGGCUUCAGAGGGACACGGAAUUCCGGGUGGAGUGGUGAAAUGCGUAGAGAUCCGGAGGAACGCCAAAGGCGGAGGCAGUGUCCUGGGGAGUACCUGACGCUCAGGUGCGAAAGCCAGGGGAGCGAACGGG
rnacentral:rRNA from 1 species